rnacentral:rRNA from 1 species
AACGAACGCUGGCGGCAGGCUUAACAUAUGCAAGUCGAGCGCCCCGCAAGGGGAGCGGCAGACGGGUGAGUAACGCGUGGGAAUCUACCCAUCACUACGGAACAACUCCGGGAAACUGGAGCUAAUACCGUAUACGUCCUUCGGGAGAAAGAUUUAUCGGUGAUGGAUGAGCCCGCGUUGGAUUAGCUAGUUGGUGGGGUAAUGGCCUACCAAGGCGACGAUCCAUAGCUGGUCUGAGAGGAUGAUCAGCCACACUGGGACUGAGACACGGCCCAGACUCCUACGGGAGGCAGCAGUGGGGAAUAUUGGACAAUGGGCGAAAGCCUGAUCCAGCCAUGCCGCGUGAGUGAUGAAGGCCCUAGGGUUGUAAAGCUCUUUCACCGACGAAGAUAAUGACGGUAGUCGGAGAAGAAGCCCCGGCUAACUUCGUGCCAGCAGCCGCUGUAAUAC